GUGAGGUAAUGGCCCACCAAGGCUAUAACAGGUACGGGCUCUGAGAGGAGAAGCCCGGAGAUGGGUACUGAGACACGGACCCAGGCCCUAUGGGGCGCAGCAGGCGAGAAACCUUAGCAAUGUGCGAAAGCACGACUAGGUUAAUCCGAGUGAUUUCUGUUGAAGAAAUCUUUUGUCAGUCGUAAAACCACAGACGAAUAAGGGGUGGGCAAGUCUGGUGUCAGCCGCCGCGGUAAUACCAGCACCUCGAGUGGUCAGGAGGUUUAUUGGGCCUAAAGCAUCCGUAGCCGGCUUUGCAAGUCUCCGGUUAAAUCCAGCUGCUCAACAGAUGGGCUGCCGGAGAUACUACAAAGCUAGGGAGCGGGAGAGGCAGACGGUAUUCUGUGGGUAGGGGUAAAAUCCUUUGAUCCAUAGAGGACCACCAGUGGCGAAGGCGGUCUGCCAGAACGCGUUCGACGGUGAGGGAUGAAAGCUGGGGGAGCAAACCGGAUUAGAUACCCGGGUAGUCCCAGCUGUAAACGAUGCAAACUCGGUGAUGCAUUGGCUUAUGGCCAAUGCAGUGCCGCAGGGAAGCCGUUAAGUUUGCCGCCUGGGAAAUAC
rnacentral:rRNA from 1 species